rnacentral:rRNA from 1 species
UACGUAGGUGACAAGCGUUGUCCGGAUUUACUGGGCGUAAAGAGCGCGCAGGCGGUCGUUCAAGUCGAGUGUGAAAGCCCCCGGCUCAACUGGGGAGGGUCACUCGAUACUGAUCGACUCGAAGGCAGGAGAGGGUAGUGGAAUUCCCGGUGUAGUGGUGAAAUGCGUAGAUAUCGGGAGGAACACCAGUGGCGAAGGCGACUACCUGGCCUGUUCUUGACGCUGAGGCGCGAAAGCGUGGGGAGCAAACAGGG